AUGACGGGGUGAUGACUCUGGAGGGUUAAGGUUGGUCAAGAGCUGAGCCGCCUGAAGAGCAGGGCGUGGAGCUGGAGCGGAAGGCCGAUCAAGGAAGUCACCCGCCAUCUGUGAGGGAGGCAGCGGAGCCCCAGAGGCACUGGGGAGAAGCAGUUGGGCCGCGAGCUUGUGGUUGCAGAUUGGAGCUGGCCAGGGCAGAGAUGCUGUGCUGAGAUGGAAGCGGUGGCAGCUGAAACCUGGAUAAUUAGAGCCGGCCGAACACCUUUGACAAGGAUCAUAAAGACUUUUGCAAACAUUAAUUAAUGUCCCCACCCCGUGAAGAAAGAGAAACUUAUUUUCCAAGUGCAUCAAGGGAAGGCCUAGGCAAUAAGGUGGUGGCUUCAUUCCCCACCACACCCCGAGUCAGCCUCCCUUCGCUUCCCACAGUCACCCCAAAGCGGCCCGAGUCACCCAGUGAGCCUCUCGGCCUUGAGCUAUGCUGUCCGGCUGCUGCUCCCGUCCAUCUUCCACACUCGGGAGAGAUUUCAGUCCCAGCUCGCCUCUUUGUAGAGACCCUGGAGACAAAUGUAUAGGGUUGGGCUGCUUCUCUUCCUACUCCUUUCCUUUAUUUAUUUAUUUAGAGACGGAGUCUCACUCUGUUUCCCAGGCUGGAGUGCAAUGGCACGAUCUCGGCUCACUGCAACCUUUGCCUCCCGGGUUCAAGUGAUUUUCAUGUCUCAGCCUCCCGAGUAGCUGGGAUUACAGGCGUACACCAU